CCCCUUGGGAACAGGAAAUAACCUUCCAUUUGCAUUUGGAUGGGGUAAGAAAAAUCCUGGAACAGAUAAGUCUUCUGCGGAGUCAUUUUUGGCUCAAGUGACUAAGGCCAAAGAGAUGAAGAUAGACAAUUGGCACGUACUUAUGCGGAUGAAGUCUCCUGAAAAAGGCUCUUGUGAUUCUAUCGAGCUACCACCUUCUCUACAUGCAUUUCGUCGUGCUUCUCCAUCAGAUCAAGCAAAUAUGG